UAUUAAAAAUUUCAUUAAUUUAUCUUGUUACAAGCUAGUUUGACUGACAAAAUAAUCAAACAAUGACACGUAAUAUGUCUCAUGUACCUCAUACUGAUGUACGGAGAUCAACUUUUAAUAAAAAAAUGGAUAAAAUUUUUAAUA
rfam:Gossypium arboreum cultivar AKA8401 contig_10787_1, whole genome shotgun sequence.